GAUUUCCCCUUGGGGUGCAGAGAGAGCUUCCAGGCCGAGCCCCGCGGUCUGGUAGGUAGAAGGCAAAGCAAUAUCUCGUCUAUCUUUGUUUACCUUGGCACUGGGUUGACAUAUGUGUGGUUUCAGCUUAAAGCCAAUACAAUACAAGUGAGAUAGCUAACCGUACCAAUCAGUUGUGCGGACACGUGAAAUGUCUUAUGUCAUUGGUGGAUCUCCCAUGGGUUGG